UACGUAGGCAGCAAGCGUUGUUCGGAGUUACUGGGCGUAAAGGGUGCGUAGGUGGCUCUAUAAGUAUGGUGUGAAAUCUCCCGGCUUAACUGGGAGGGUGCGCCGUAGACUGUGGGGCUAGAGUGUGGGAGAGGAAAGUGGAAUUCCUGGUGUAGGCGGUGAAAUGCGUAGAUAUCGAGGAGGAACACCGGUGGUGUAAACGGCUUUCUGG
rnacentral:rRNA from 1 species